GAAUCACAAAGUGAAUUGAAACAUCUUAGUAACUUUGACAAAAGACAUCACACGAGACUUCGGAAGUAGUGGUGAGCGAAACCGAAUCAGGCAAAAAGAAAAAAG
rnacentral:rRNA from 16 species